GGAUCCUUAAGUAAUUGCGAAUGAACAAGGAACUGCUCAGCUUGAAAAUUGGGGCCUUCGGCCUUGAAUUGUAAUUUUGAAAUGUAUUGCCAAUGGAGGCGCAGGUGCAAGCCUAUUGAAAGAAAGCGUCAAUGAGGGUGAGAUUCCUUUUUGUCAUUUGCAGUCCUCCGUGCACGGUAUAUAUUUGACGAGUCACACUCCUUGGCAUUGGAAUGCAAAGUGGGUGGUAAAUUCCAUGUAAAGGGAAAUAUAUUAUUGAGACUGAUAGCAAACAAGUACCAUGAGGGAAAUAUGAAAAGGACUUUGAAAAGAGAAUUAAAAGAGUCUGCAUUUGCUGAACAGAAAGCAAACAGAAUUGAUCUACUUGGUGAGAUUGUUGCGUCCACUUGUGGGCGCAAUGGUUCUUGCCUUGAAUGUCAGCGUCUAUUUCUGCAAAUUAUUACCCUUGCAUAUGAAUGGUAAUUUGCCUGUGGGCAUUGGAAUGCAUGUGUUUGCAAUGAUUUGUGAUUUGAUACAUGUGUCUGGUGUUCGUGUGUGUGCCUUCUUGCCAACACGGGGAGGGCUCUCCUCCCUGGGCACUGCAUGCCCUUGCACAUUGUUGCUGGCAAAAUGUUUCUGCUUGACCCGUCUUGAAACACGGACCAAA
rnacentral:rRNA from 1 species